rnacentral:lncRNA from 1 species
GGAAAAUCCAGUGUGCCUACACUGGACCAAGAAGAAGAAGAAGAAGAAAAGGGAAGGAAGAAGAAGAAAAGGGAAGGAAGAAGAAGAGUGUGUCCUCUGUUUGCAAUUACUCUCACCCAUGUUUCAUGAAACACUUUCCUCGAUGGUGACCUUCGGCGAUUACCAUUUCGGAUGUUAUAAAUAAUUUAUGCUUCUCGUUCCAUCUGGUAUUUUUUUCGGUUGACAGGUUCCUUCUGGACUUGAGGUGCGUACACAGUGGAGUGUGGAUGUUAAUCCUCAGUGCGCAACAUGAAAGGAUCAUUACAAUUUGUGCUUCUUCUGUUGACGUGACCAACAAAUGGUGUGCCACAACCGAACUCAAAAGUUAAUUGCAGUUUUAGAAAAAGGGCAAGAACAAUUAAUUCGAUAGAUGGAAAGAUGGACAAUUGUACCAGAUUAUUGUAUGGAUCCAUGGUGUGAAAGAGUGGAUGAAUAGGUGGCACAAAGUGUGGUCAACUGGAAUAAAAAAGGGUUAAGCCGUGGAAUACUGUACUUGGCCACGACAGGGGCUCCGCAAGAGACGCCGGAUUUUGCACUUGCUGGUACUUGAGGGUCAGAAAGAAGGCAAAGACAUGAAGAUGGGCAAACUCGUUGGUCCACUAAUGGUGUCCAAAGGUUGUCA